GACGAACGCUGGCGGCGUGCUUAACACAUGCAAGUCGAACGGUGAAGCGCCUUCCUUUUUGGUGGGUGUGGAUGAGUGGCGAACGGGUGAGUAACACGUGAGUAACCUGCCCCCUUCUUCUGGAUAACCGCAUGAAAGUGUGGCUAAUACGGGAUAUUCUGGGUCUGUCGCAUGAUGGGUCUGGGAAAGAUUUUGUUUCGGUGGGGGAUGGGCUGGCGGCCUAUCAGCUUGUUGGGGGGGUGAUGGCCUACGAAGGCGGUGAGGGGUAGCCGGCCUGGGAGGGUCGACGGUCACACUGGGACUGCGACGCCGCGCAGACUCCUGCAGGAAGCAGCAGUGGGGAUUAUUGCACAAUGGGCGCAAGGCUGAUGCAGCGACGCCGCGUGAGGGAUGGUGGCCUUCGGGUUGUGAACCUCUUUCGGCAGUGAGGCAGGCCUGCCUUGUUUGUGGGUGGGUUGACGGUAGCUGGAUAGGAAGCACCGGCUAACUACGUG
rnacentral:rRNA from 1 species